rnacentral:rRNA from 1 species
UACGGAGGGUGCAAGCGUUAUCCGGAUUCACUGGGUUUAAAGGGUGCGUAGGUGGGCAGGUAAGUCAGUGGUGAAAUCUUCGAGCUUAACUCGGAAACUGCCAUUGAUACUAUUUAUCUUGAAUACUCUGGAGGUAAGCGGAAUAUGUCAUGUAGCGGUGAAAUGCUUAGAUAUGACAUAGAACACCAAUUGCGAAGGCAGCUUACUACAUAGUUAUUGACACUGAGGCACGAAAGCGUGGGGAUCAAACAGG